AUGGCGUCGUCCAAAACUGCAGAGCGCCCCCCUCCAGCCAUUGUUGCACUCGGCUCGGACGACGUGACUGCACAGUGGUCUUCUCUCCCUACAGAUUUGGUCUGCCUUGUCGGCUGGCGGGUGCUGGCCGGAGACCUGCUAGACUACGUCCGCUUCCGGGCCGUGUGCGCGCACUGGCGGUCCAGCACCGUCUGUCCGCACGGACGUGGCAUCGCCGAUCCACGCUUUCACCCGCGACGGUGGAUGAUUUUGCCCGAGGGCCAUGGCGUUCACCCUCGCAUCGACAAGAGACGUUUUCUGAAUCUCGCGACCCGAGUUUUCGCUUGUGUCUCGCUGCCUCUCUUGAUGGACUGUCGUGUCCUUGAUUCGGCCGACGGCCUCCUUGUCCUCUACAAAGACAACGCCAAGACCUUGAUCCUUCACCCCUUCACCGGCGACGUUGUGAAGCUCCCGCCGCUCAUGAAAUCCCACCGGAACCUAGGUGUACAGGGACGGUGUGAUUCGGUUCGCCGCAUCCUUGAGCGUGAGCGCGGAUGGCGUGGUCACGGUCAUGAUCGUGCAUCAAUAUAUACGUCGUGUAUUUUUCGCUACCGCCAAGGACCAGCACUGGAACUGGAGCCUCUCGCCCUUGUCCAUACCCAUGUCAUUCCAAGGGAAGUUUUAUAUACUGGAGCCUCAUACUACAGGUAG
rnacentral:rRNA from 1 species